CCUACGGGUGGCAGCAGUGAGGAAUAUUGGUCAAUGGGCGCGAGCCUGAACCAGCCAAGUAGCGUGAAGGAUGACUGCCCUACGGGUUGUAAACUUCUUUUAUAAAGGAAUAAAGUGUGGCACGUGUGCCUUUUUGUAUGUACUUUAUGAAUAAGCAUCGGCUAACUCCGUGCCAGCAGCCGCGGUAAUACGGAGGAUCCGCGCGUUAUCCGGAUUUAUUGGGUUUAAAGGGAGCGUAGAUGGGUUGUUAAGUCAGUUGUGAAAGUUCGGGGCUCAACCGUAAAAUUGCAGUUGAUACUGGCAGUCUUGAGUACAGUAGAGGUAGGCGGAAUUCGUGGUGUAGCGGUGAAAUGCGGAGAUAUCACGAAGAACUCCGAUUGCGAAGGCAGCUUACUAAACUGCAACUGACAUUGAGGCUCGAAAGUGUGGGUAUCAAACAGGAUUAGAUACCCGUGUAGUC
rnacentral:rRNA from 1 species